UGGAUCUGGCAUUGCUGUGGCUAUAGCAUAGGCCAGUGGCUACAGCUCCAAUUCAACCCCUGGCCUGAGAACCUCCAUAUGCUGUGGGUAUGCCCCCCCAAAUUAAAUUAAAUUAAAUUUUGUGUCUCAAUUUAAAAAUAAUAGAACCAAUCCCUAAAAAAUGCAUGUGAUAUCCAUUUGCCAGAUUUUUCAUUCAUAGAAAUAGAGAGCUGUUAUAAAUAUAGCCAUUUAACAUUUGCCUUUCAAUAAGAUAUAUUCUGGGACUAAUUUGAAAUUUUUAAAAAUUCCACCUUAAAUUUGAAUUGUAAUGAUAGACAUUUUUGUUCUAAGAAUAUACAUGCAUAUACAUGGUAAGUAAUUUUUUUUUAGUUUAAACGUAAAAAAUCCUAAAUAAGCUAGUAUAUCACAAUAAAAACAGUUGUCAAAUAUAAAAUAAUUGUAACAAAGAAAAAGAAUCUAGAAGUUCCCGUCGUGGCUCAAGGGUUAAUGAAUCCAACUAGUAUCCAUGAGGAUGCAGGUUUGAUCCCUGACCUUGCUCAGUGGGUUAAGGAUUCAGCAUUGCAGUGAGUUGUGGUGUAGGUUGCAGACAUGGCUCAGAUCCUGCGCUGCUGUGGUUGUGGCGUAGGCUGGUGGCUACAGCUCUGAUUCAGCUCCUAGCCUGGGAAACUCCACAUGUUGCAUUGUGAUUCUAAAAAGACAAAAGCCAAAAAAAAAAAAAAAAAAAAAAAGGAAAAGCAUCUACUGAGAUUCUGAGAAGGAUCUACCUCAAGAACUUAAACUGAAACCAGAAUCCAAACACUGAGCUCUGAAUCAUGAGAUCUCCUUUCCUAUAUUUACUUUAACAUAAACAUUUGGUAAAGAAGCUUAUUCUGAAAAACUUAAGGACAAAUUUCAUUUCCUGAUCAUGAUGCUGUAAUGAAUUAAUGUCAGAGAUAGAACUUGGGGGAAAAAAAAAAAGAAAGCAAGAAAAGGUCUUUUGGCUUUUGACUUUCAGGUACAUGAUUAUCAGUAUGUUUAGUCUCAUAGCUUGUCUUCUCACAUUAGACUCUAAAUUCCUCUAAGAUCAAAAUUCCGUCAUAUUCAUUUUAGUGUCCCUCAGAAAGCCAGACACAAUAUCAUGCAUUCAAAAAAUUGAAUAACUUUCCAAAGGCGUCUACUUAUCUAUAAAUAUUCAAUUGGCAGAUUAGACUUGAAAUAAUAAUGUUACCGAAAGUUGGCAGCAUCUUAACAACUACUCUCUUAAUUCCACUUGUAUAACUCAUUGUCCAAUGUAUUUUAGAAUUCAGAGCUUCCUUUCGGACCAUAAUACAAAAUAUUUAAAAAGUAAAAAUGAAGUCAUUCAUGGAUAUUUUUGACUUUCAUAAGAAGUGUGAUAUUAACUCUUUUGUUUAUUUAUUUUGUCUUUUUAGGGCUUCAUCUGGGGCAUAUGGAAGUUCCCAGGCUAGGGAUUGAAUCAGAGCUGUAGCUGCCAGCCUAUACCACAACCACAGCAAUUCCAGAUCCGAGACACAUCUGCAACCUACACCACAGCUUACGGCAUUGCCAGAUCCUUAACCUGCUGAGUGAGGCCAGGAAUCAAACCCGCAUGCUCAUGGAUACUAGUCAGGUUUGUUAUUGCUGAGCCAAAACAGGAACUCCAGUAUUAACUCUUUUGGUGGGAAAAAUGGAAGAAGUAUCUUGGGAUAUGAGUUUUCUUUCUGCUGUUCUCUGCUUACAACAUAUUACACUUCUUUUAAAACCAGACUCUUCAAAACGGCACACAUGAGCCUCUGAUUACAUUCUCAUCUUUAUCUCAAUUGACCUACCUCUUUCAGCUUAUGGUGCUUCAACAAUAUUAACUAUUUUUCUUUUCCUGGAAUAUCUCUAUGACUUAGGAAUUUGGGGUUGAUUUCCUAUCUGUCUGGAAUACUUAUCCUUUGGUUAGUUCCAUGCUUGACUCCAUAGUCCUACGAGGCGUGGAUUAAAUACCCUUUAUCUAGAAGAUCUUUUCUGACCACCAUAUCUAAAAUAGCUUCCCACCAGAAUCGUUUGCUGUAACACCACCUUUUUUAUUUCUUUCAGAAUAGUUGUCACAAGAAUAAUCAUGUUAGUUGGAUAUCUUCUCUAACAAAGGGUAAGUUCCAUGAGUACAGGGACUUUUCCUACCUUUUACCCCUGAUGUAGCUACUGUGCAGAACACAGCACCUGGUAGACUAAAAACCUGAAAGAACACGCAAAUAUUUGCUGCAAAAAUGAACAUUUACUGUCUUAAUAUAAACAGCAAGUUAAUUUGAAAAGUGAAGUAUAAUUCUGAUGCUCAUGUAUAGUUUUGUUUGUCUAAAUCCAAUUACUAGUUAGUAUCCACAUUGUGAUGCAUCCAAAUUGCAUUUUCAUUUCAGCAAUUGAGGCUCUGGGAUAUACAAAGGUAGGAGAUUUUUCCCAAAGCAAAUGAUAGAGAUGAAAAAAAGAGAUCUGUGUACCUUGCUUUUAUUCAGAAAAGAAAUAACUACGUUUAUUAUAAAAUUUAUAAGAAUGUAGACAUGUGUCUUGUGACAUCAUGUAUUUUAAAUUCUGCAUUGAUAUUGAAUUUAAUAACUAGCUUAGGCAAAAUUUCAUAAAUUUGAAAGUUUGUUAGAAAGUCGUUACUUCUUUUUAAAAAUUUUAUUAAAGUGUGGUUGAUUUACAAUGUUGUUUAUUUAUGCUGCACAGCAAAGUGAUUCAGUUAUACAUACAUAUCUUUUCUUUUUCAUAUUCUUUUCCAUUAUAGUUUAUCAUGGGAUAUUGAAUAUAGUUCCCUGUGCCAUACAGUAAGAUCUUAUUGUUUAUCUUAUCCUAUCUAUAAUAGUUUCUGUCUGCUAAUCCCAAACUCCCAAUCCCCCCUCCUCUCUCCCUUUUGGCAACCACAAGUGUGUUCUUGUGUUCUCCUAUCUGUGAGCCUGAUUCUGUUUCAAAAAUAUGUUCAUUUGUGUCAUAUUUUAGAUUCCACAUAUAAGUGAUAUCACAAAGUGUUUGUCUUUCUCUUUCUCACUCACUUUGUUUAGUAUGAUAAUCUCUAGUUGCAUCUCUGUUCCUUCAAAGGGCGGUAUAUUUUUAUUUUCUUAUAGCUGAGUAAUAUUCCAUUAUACGUAUAUACACACAUACAUAUAUACCACAUCUUCUUUAUCCAUUCAUCUCUCAAUGGAUAUUUACCUGUUUCUAUGUCUUGGCUAUUAUAAAUAAUGCCACUAUGAACAUAAGGGUGCAUGUAUGUUCUUGAAUUAUAGUUUUUUCUGGAUACAUGUCCACGAGUGGGAUUGCUAGGUCAUAUAGCAGCUCUAAUUUUUUUUUUUUUUUUUUUGAGGAAACUUCAUAUUGUUUUCCAAUGUAGCUGUACCAAAUAACAUUCCCACCAACAGUGCCGGAAGUUUCCCUUUUCUCCAGCAUUUAUUAUUGUAGACUUUUUAAUCAUGACCAUUCUGGCAGUAUGAUGUGGUACCACAUUGUAGUUUUGAUUUGCAUUUCUCAAAAAAUUAGCUAUGAUAAGCAUCUUUUCAUGUUCCUAUUGGCUAUCUGUAUUCUUCUAGAGAAAUGUCUAUUUAAAUAUUCUGCCCAUUUUUCAAUUGGGAUGUUUGUUUAUUUUGUUAUUGAGUUAUAUGAACUGUUUGUAUUUUUGUAAGUUAGGCCCUUGCCAUUUGUAUUAGCUGCAAAUAUUUUCUCCCAGUCCAAAGAAUGUCUUUUCAUUUUGUUUAUGGUUUCCUUUGCUAUGCAAAUCUUAUAAGUUUUAUUAGGUCUCAUUUGUUUGUUUUUGUUUUUUGCUUUAUUUCUAUUGCCUUGGGGGACUAAUCAAAGAAAACAUUGGUAUGAUUUAUGUCAGAGAAUAUUUUACCUAUGUUCUCAUCUAGUUAUCUCUAGUUUAAGUCUUUAAGCCAUUUUGAGUUUAUAUUUGUGUAUGGUGUGAGAGUGUGUUCUAAAUUCAUUGAUUUGCCUGUGGCUCUCCAAGGAAAGUUUUUACCUUUUGUUUUUAUAAAUUUUAUUGGAGUAUAGGUGACAACAAUAUUUUGUUAGUUUCAGGUGUAUAGCUAAGUGAAUCACUGUACAUAUACAUUUACAUCCAUCCUUUUUCAGAUUCUUUCCCCAUAUAGGCAAUUACAGAAUAUUGAGUAGAUUUCCCCAAGCUAUAUAGUAAGUCCCUAUUAAUGGUUGAUUUUGUAUAUAGUACUUUGUAUAUGCCAAUCUCACCUCCUUAUCCAUCACUUCCUUCAUGGUUCCUCUUUGGUAACCAUGAGCUUGGUUUUGAAAUCUUUAAAUCUGUUUCUGUUUUGUGAAAAAAAAAUAAUAAUAAUUAUAAUAAUAAUUCUGUUUUGUACUUCUUUUAUUAGAUACCACAUAUCAGUGAUCUCACAUGAUAUUUGUCUUUGUCUGUCUCUGACUUACCUCACUUAGUAUGAUAAACUCUAGGUCCAUCCAUAUUGCUGCAAAUGGCAUUAUUUUCUUCCUUUUUGUGGCCAUGUAAUAUUCCAUUUGUAUAUGCACCACAUCUUCUUUAUCUAAUCCUCUGUUGAUGGACAUUUAGAUGGCUUCCAUGUCUUGGCUAUCGUAAAUAGUGCUGCAGAGAACAUCAGGGUGCAUGUAUCUUUAAUCGAAGACAACAAUAACUUCAAACAAUAUAUUUAAACAUUUUAAAUAUAAAUCCUAGAGGAUAAAGAAAGAAAGAAAGAAGGGGUUGUGGGAUGGAAAUCCUAUAAAAUUGGAUUGUGAUGAUCAUUGUACAUAUAUAAAUGUAAUAAAUUCAUUG
rnacentral:lncRNA from 1 species